GACGAUCCUACGCAUUUUUAACCUGCCGCGAGCAAAUAUCAUCAUCUUCAUCGAAAGUACCGCGUUCUUAAUCGCAUCAAACAUUCUAUACAUAUAUGCUACUUAGCCAAGUUAGUAAGUGAAGGGACAGUGAGCUUUAUAUUUGAGUAGUCAGUAAUAUAGUAAUAUCACUUCCUUUUUUUUUUCACUUAAUCCAUCUAUCUUUUUACACUUUUACAUUUACUCAACGUUUUUACUCUUGUAACUAGAGUAUAAUCGACGAUUGUAAUUUAUUUGUAUCGCAUUAACUAACAGUGCAGUAUUGCUAUACUAGUAUAUAGUAUACAUGUAAGAAAUCAAUGACAUUAUUCCGGGCUCCUGAUGGAAAAGAGCUUUAUAAAGUUGUGGCACAAUGUUUGCUUUCGCUCCUUAUGAAAUGAUCUUCUUUAUAACCACUAAUCUUCUAUGUUAAUGUAAUCUGUCUCCGCUUAUGUUUGAGCUUUGCUUUCACUCGUUGUCAUCGAUUCGAUCAAGCUAUAUUUCCUCUGCGACGAAUUUGAUCGAUGUCUAAUUAGAAACAACGAACGAUUUGCUUUUAGGAAAGCUCGUUGAACGUCCUCCGUUUCGUACAAAGCAGUUGUCAUCGACUUAGCAACAAGACGAAUAAAUUCUGCGUUUCACGCGUUUUGCCGGAGCUUCGCGGAGUUCAGAGAAACUCAAACGAAUGUAUCAAACGAAUGGUUCAAGUACUGCUGUCAAAUGUUAUGAGUGCGUUCUGCGUGGAUAGAAAUCUGAAACUUUUAUUAUAACCUUAUUCUAAUCGAAUCUAGAAUAAACAUAUUCAAGCUACCUGACGCUGGCAUAGAAUAUUUUUUCAAUUUUGUUACGUUCGAUCAAUAAACACAUCUGGCUUCGCAACAACAUGUUCUGUCUGCUGUUCUUUGAAUGUGGGAUAAGGCAUGAACGCGACGAAUAAGCGAGGAAUAAGUGACGAGUAAGCGACCUACAGCAAAAAAGAGAAAGGGAAACGAGCCGACUUGAGCGAUUGGUUCGUGAAGCAGGAGAACGAGUACGAGGAGCCGCAGACUCUGUUCGAGUUCGUUGCCAGCAGUUACGAUUUGGCGGAACGAAAGAAGGCUGCAAAGAGCGUGAUCUGCGAGGAAUGCGGCAAAAGCUUCUCGAGGCUCGACAGUCUUCGAAGACACGAGAAGAAUUAUUGCAGAGUAAAAGGAGACAGAAUGUACUGCCGUUUUUGCGGCAAGAAGUUCGCGAAGCCGCUCUCACUGAUCUCUCACGUGAAAUCGGCGCAUUCGACUCUCUUUUUAAAAUCGCAAACAUCAUAGGAGAACUUUGUGUAUCAAAAAUACUGAAAGUUUCCUUUAACAAAUUUUCAUCUUGGUUUUUCUUUCUUUUGGCUGGUUCCCACUUUCGUGAUUAAAGCGAAGUAUAUAAAAUUUACACGUACGAUCUUUCUUAUCUUUAUCAAUCGUUACCACAGUUAUGGAUUAACUCGUUAUAAAGAAGAUUGAGGGGGGAAGAGAAAAGGAAACAACAUAUACGCUCCGUACCAAUUCAACGUUUUCAUCUUUUCAAAUAAGUGCCACUGUGUUACGUACCUUGUUGUACAUUCUAUAUUAUACAAACCGUGAAAUCGCGUUACCUUUAUAAGUAUUUCUUGUUAAAAAUAUUACAUAUAAUGUUGUAUAGAAAGAGAAAGAAAUACAAGACAACGUACAUUAAAGAACAUGACUACGAUAGUCUGGAUUUUCAUCUAUUUAGAAAAAAUACUCUUGCAUCGCGCUACAUAGUGGUGCUUAUUUUCUACAGAAUGCUAAAAUCCUGUCCUAUCAGUGUAAAUGGUUGAAAAUCCACGGCAUCAAAUACUCUAAUACACCUUCGAAGACGAAGCAAUUAGCGUAAUGUUGCAGUACGAUGAUUGUAAUAAUUUGCUUUGUAAUAUGGUUUUUGUCAGAAAAAAUUUCACUUUCAUGCGCUAUGUACGUGUGUAUAUGUAUAUCGGCGAUGCUGUAAAUGUAUCACAGUAAAUAACCGCGAAGUUAAGCGCGUCCAUGAAGCUAAUGUUUCUUGGUAUGUUCGAAAUUGAAUAAAACGUUUUUCAAACGACA